rnacentral:lncRNA from 1 species
CAGUUUGCCAGUCGGAGCUCCUUGCCCACGUCUGGGCUUUACUGUGGGGAAGAAUAAGGCUGAUUUGUUUCUUUCGUAGGGCAGGAAUUUCCCACCGUUAUAGAAAUGGAAAAAUGAAUUUCUUGAAAGUGUUCACAGGACUUCAAAAAUCUGACAUCAGAUACUGCUCUUGGAGAAGUACAUUUACAUGGAAUGGUGAUGAAAGCUAUAGAAUUAGUAGAUAUACAUACGUGGAACCAACUUCACCUGUGCAGCUGGAUCAAAGUCCAUUCAUUUCUCCUUCCUGCAAGCAUAAAGCCAACAAAUGCUUUGGCAGGUUUGUAAAGAAGAAAAGCAGAAUGCAUGAUACAGAAGGGUAAAGAGAGAAGCAAUGGAAGUGUAGCUACAGAUGAAAUACCUGGAUUGCGUGCACGUAAACAUCCCUCUCAGGAGGGACUUCAAUGCCAAAAGUGGAUGGAAGUGCAUCUGUAGAAACAACAAACUUCUUUCCUGAGGUUAGAGACACACAGAUGAUCCUCAAGGAAGGAAAGGUGCCCUAAGGCAGAAUUGGCAUGGGAACAAAAUGAGAAAGCACCAAGUAAUGGAGCAAGUGGUAUGUGCAAAGAAAUAGUGGCAACUCAAACACACACAUGGCAGCACACUGGCUUUCAUCCUUUUGUAAUGUGCUCUAAAAAUCCCUAUAGAAGAACAUUCUAAGAAACAGCCAGAUAAAUCACAGAACAGUUGAGGAUGGAAUCUCUGUGUCCCUCAGGCCCAAGCCCUGCUCCAGCAGGAACACCCAGAGCAGGGUGCCCAGGGCCACAUCCAGGUAGAUUUGGAAGAUCCCUAAGGAGGAAAUCCCACAGCUUCUGGGCAGCCUGUGCCAGUGCUCCUGGUGGUCAGAGGGAACCUCCUGUGCGCCACUUUGUGUCCAGUGUCUCUUGUCUUGGUAGCGGGAACAAAACAUAAAUAGCCUAAAAACAAAUACAUGAGGGGGGAGGAAGAAAAAGUUUGAAUCUCUCUCCAUUCAUGUGCUUUGCAACAGGUUGUUGGAACAAGGCUGACUGAAAGCAUAAUUCAGGACAGUUAACUACCAGGUUUGCUGCCUUACAUCAACACCCACCAACAUGACUGUGAUCAGAGAUGACGUUUGCCAUAGCUCUCAGUUAAGACCAGGUUCUACUACUGGCAGGAGCACAGAGUAGUAAAGAAAUCAUUGAGGCUUAGGCUAGAAAUUAGAUUGACC